AGGACGAACGCUGGCGGCGUGCGUAAUACAUGCAAGUCGAGCGGGCCGUGGCCUUCGGGUUGCGGUUAGCGGCGGACGGGUGAGUAACGCGUGGGAGACCUAGCCUGCUGGUGGGGGAUAACUGUCCGAAAGGGUGGCUAAUCCCGCAUGCGUCCGUCGGGUCGAGCCGACGGGGAAAGCCGGGAGACCGGCGCCGGAGGGGGGUUCCGCGUCCCAUUAGGUGGUUGGUGGGGUAGUGGCCUACCAAGCCUGCGAUGGGUAGCCGGUCUGAGAGGAUGGCCGGCCACACUGGGACUGAGAGACGGCCCAGACUCCUACGGGGGGCAGCAGUAAGGGAUCUUCGACAAUGGCCGCAAGGCUGAUCGAGCGACGCCGCGUGGGUGACGAAGGGCUGUGGCCUGUAAAGCCCUGUUGACCGGGGAGAGGGUGGACGGUACCGGUCGAGGGAACGCCCCGGCUAACCGACGUGCCAGCAGCCGC
rnacentral:rRNA from 1 species